rnacentral:rRNA from 1 species
GACGGGGGGGGCAAGUGUUCUUCGGAAUGACUGGGCGUAAAGGGCACGUAGGCGGUGAAUCGGGUUGAAAGUGAAAGUCGCCAAAAACUGGCGGAAUGCUCUCGAAACCAAUUCACUUGAGUGAGACAGAGGAGAGUGGAAUUUCGUGUGUAGGGGUGAAAUCCCGAGAUCUACGAAGGAACGCCAAAAGCGAAGGCAGCUCUCUGGGUCCCUACCGACGCUGGAGUGCGAAAGCAUGGGGAGCGAAUGGG